UUUGGUGAUAAAUAACGAAGACAUUGUUUGGUAGGUGAAGGAGUUCCAGUCUACUUGGGACACUUCCAGAGUGAUGAAAUGAGCCAUCACCAAAGACCGGCACAUUGACUUCAGUUUACAGCUAAAUGCCCUGGCUCAAAGAAACUCUGCGGUCAGAAGGGAAGACGUGCAAAUCAGAGUGAGCUUGCUCUCUAUCUCAUGCUCCUGAUGAAGCGUCACACCCUGAUUCAGAGAAGAAAUGAUGAAAAUGAGACCUCAUUUACUCUACAAAGCACCAUAAAUUGCGGUUCAAAUUUCUUGACCUAUCCUGCCGGCCCCGUGCAAUUCUACCUGACUUCACCGAGAGCCCGGAUAAGAUCACACGUGGAGCUCCUAAGAUACAUUCUGGACAAGGAUCCUGUAGGAUGAAAGAUACUCUAUCGCUGUGGAGCCAGCUGAAGGAAACUGAAAGUGCGGAGCCAGCUGAAGGAAACUGAAGGUGUGAAGAGCUUCAGUGACUUCCCAUGGAUUUUCCAGAGUUUUCUCUCUGUGUGAGCAAAGUGGGAGAUACAGGGUAUCAUUUUAAAUGUUUGCAGCUGAAAGGACA